rnacentral:rRNA from 1 species
AUUGAACGCUGGCGGCAGGCCUAACACAUGCAAGUCGAGCGAGCGGCGGACGGGUGAGUAAUGUCUGGGAAACUGCCUGAUGGCGGGGGAUAACUACUGGAAACGGUAGCUAAUACCGCAUACCAUCAGAUGUGCCCAGGUGGGAUUAGCUAGUAGGUGGGGUAACGGCUCACCUAGGCGACGAUCCGUAGCUGGUCUGAGAGGAUGACCAGCCACACUGGAAGGGAAACACGGUCCAGACUCCAACGGGAGGCAGCAGUGGAGAGUAUUACACAAUGGACGCAAGCCUGAUGCAGCCAUGCCGAGUGGGUGAAGAAGGCCUUCGGGUUGUAAAGCACUUUCAGCGGGGAGGCGUUACCCGAAGAAGAAGCACCGGCUAACUCCGUGCCAGCAGCCGCGGUAAUUC